AGAAUUUCAUCGGAUCACCAGCAGAGACCUCCUGGGGACUUUCAGUGCAUCCCUUGACAAACAUGUGCCUUGCCUGCUGAAACUGUACCGGGCUAGGAAGGGAGCUUUUGGACAGAAGAUGGAAGACCUCCUCGAAAAGCUUGAUGAACAAACAUCGGACAUUGUGUCUCACGGAAAGACAGCAGCACUGAGAGGCCUGCCCAUUUUUGUCCGGGAAGACACAACCAAGUUUCUUCUGGAGUGUUUGGACACUGACCAUGAAGAAAGAGUGGUCAGAGGUGUGUCUGUGGGCAUCCUCGCCGUCAUUGAAGAUGAUAAUGCCGCCAUAUCACC